rfam:Glomerella graminicola M1.001 genomic scaffold supercont1.10, whole genome shotgun sequence.
ACAUACGACCAUAUCUACUGGAAAACUCGGGAUCCCGUCCGCUCUCCCAUAGAUAAGCCAGUGAGGGCCGGAUUAGUAGUUGGGUCGGUGACGACCAGCGAAUACCUGGUGUUGUAUGUU